UGUUCGGUGGCUUAAUUGGUUGAAGCGCCAGUCUAGCGAAUACGGAGUCGUGGGUUCGAAUCCCACCAGAACGU
rfam:Aedes albopictus isolate Foshan contig24469, whole genome shotgun sequence.